GACGAUUCCGUGGAGAGUGACGACCGACGCCGACGAUUCCGUGGAGAGUGACGACCGACGCCGACAGUAAGGUGAGGAGUCGUCAACGUUGCUAAUUCGCGCAUCCGCAACGUAGUGAAGAUCGAUGACCCAAGUUAGCCGCGACAGUUAAUCGGUCGAUGUCGGGAGGAGAGUGGAUGUCGGACGGUGGACUGUGGAACUGCUGGAAGUGGUGGAGCUCAAUGCUCAGAGAAAGGCACAAGCAUGUUUGAUCUGUGAUGUGAGGCGGCGUGGAAUGGAGAUG
rnacentral:lncRNA from 1 species